UUCCAGAGAUGGAUUGGUGCCUUCGGGAACUGUGAGACAGGUGCUGCAUGGCUGUCGUCAGCUCGUGUUGUGAAAUGUUGGGUUAAGUCCCGCAACGAGCGCAACCCUUAUCCUUUGUUGCCAGCGGUCCGGCCGGGAACUCAAAGGAGACUGCCAGUGAUAAACUGGAGGAAGGUGGGGAUGACGUCAAGUCAUCAUGGCCCUUACGACCAGGGCUACACACGUGCUACAAUGGCGCAUACAAAGAGAAGCGACCUCGCGAGAGCAAGCGGACCUCAUAAAGUGCGUCGUAGUCCGGAUUGGAGUCUGCAACUCGACUCCAUGAAGUCGGAAUCGCUAGUAAUCGUGGAUCAGAAUGCCACGGUGAAUACGUUCCCGGGCCUUGUACACACCGCCCGUCACACCAUGGGAGUGGGUUGCAAAAGAAGUAGGUAGCUUAACCUUCGGGAGGGCGCUUACCACUUUGUGAUUCAUGACUGGGGUGAAGUCGUAACAAGGUAACCGUAGGGGAACCUGCGGUUGGAUCACCUCCUUACCUUAAAGAA
rnacentral:rRNA from 1 species